rnacentral:rRNA from 2 species
GGGUUGUGAGGUUAAGCGACUAAGCGUACACGGUGGAUGCCCUGGCAGUCAGAGGCGAUGAAGGACGUGCUAAUCUGCGAUAAGCGCCGGUAAGGUGAUAUGAACCGUUAUAACCGGCGAUUUCCGAAUGGGGAAACCCAGUGUGAUUCGUCACACUAUCAUUAACUGAAUCCAUAGGUUAAUGAGGCGAACCGGGGGAACUGAAACAUCUAAGUACCCCGAGGAAAAGAAAUCAACCGAGAUUCCCCCAGUAGCGGCGAGCGAACGGGGAGGAGCCCAGAGCCUGAAUCAGCAUGUGUGUUAGUGGAAGCGUCUGGAAAGGCGCGCGAUACAGGGUGACAGCCCCGUACACAAAAGCGCAUGUGCUGUGAGCUCGAUGAGUAGGGCGGGACACGUGGUAUCCUGUCUGAAUAUGGGGGGACCAUCCUCCAAGGCUAAAUACUCCUGACUGACCGAUAGUGAACCAGUACCGUGAGGGAAAGGCGAAAAGAACCCCGGCGAGGGGAGUGAAAAAGAACCUGAAACCGUGUACGUACAAGCAGUGGGAGCACCCUUUGGGGUGUGACUGCGUACCUUUUGUAUAAUGGGUCAGCGACUUAUAUUCUGUAGCAAGGUUAACCGAAUAGGGGAGCCGUAGGGAAACCGAGUCUUAACCGGGCGUUAAGUUGCAGGGUAUAGACCCGAAACCCGGUGAUCUAGCCAUGGGCAGGUUGAAGGUUGGGUAACACUAACUGGAGGACCGAACCGACUAAUGUUGAAAAAUUAGCGGAUGACCUGUGGCUGGGGGUGAAAGGCCAAUCAAACCGGGAGAUAGCUGGUUCUCCCCGAAAGCUAUUUAGGUAGCGCCUCGUGAAUUCAUCUCCGGGGGUAGAGCACUGUUUCGGCUAGGGGGCCAUCCCGGCUUACCAACCCGAUGCAAACUGCGAAUACCGGAGAAUGUUAUCACGGGAGACACACGGCGGGUGCUAACGUCCGUCGUGAAGAGGGAAACAACCCAGACCGCCAGCUAAGGUCCCAAAGUCAUGGUUAAGUGGGAAACGAUGUGGGAAGGCCCAGACAGCCAGGAUGUUGGCUUAGAAGCAGCCAUCAUUUAAAGAAAGCGUAAUAGCUCACUGGUCGAGUCGGCCUGCGCGGAAGAUGUAACGGGGCUAAACCAU